UACGGGGGGAGCAAGCGUUGUUCGGAUUUACUGGGCGUAAAGGGCGCGUAGGCGGCGCAACAAGUCACUUGUGAAAUCUCCGGGCUUAACCCGGAGCGGGCAAGUGAUACUGUCGUGCUAGAGUGCGGAAGGGGCUACUGGGAUUCUCGGUGUAGCGGUGAAAUGCGUAGAUAUCGAGAGGAACACCUGCGGCGAAGGCGGGUAGCUGGGCCGACACUGACGCUGAGGCGCGAAAGCCAGGGGAGCGAACGGG
rnacentral:rRNA from 1 species